GCUAUGGGCAACUGGGCAAGUUUUCCUCUGCACAGAGUUGAACUGUAGAAAGGGAUUUUUUACGCACUUUCAACCUCUGGAGCACCCUCAGGGAGAGCCCACGCAGACACACAGUAUCAAGCACUCUCCUCUACAAUAUCCAUACAGAUACAGUAAUACAGCUCCCUAACAGGAAUAUCACCCCCUCAGUUUACUAUAUCAGCCAUUCGGACACCUGAACUUGCAUAUCCCUACCAAUAUCGCUUGCACCGGCGCGACUGAUCCUCUACAGUCAUCGGAAGAGCACUCCCUUACACCACUUACAGUUCCAUCUGUAUUACCAGGACCUCUCCCUCUUCCUACUGCAUAUACAGGUUGCCUUGGGACUACUCUACUUGAUAUUUGUUCCUGCCUACUAUUGCUGUGAACAUCCUGCCAUGCAUCCUGCCUACUGCUUGAGUGUUUUUUUUACCAUAUUUAGUAACUCUUUUAGUAUAUGUAUUUAAUAUACUUCUCUUCCACCUUAGGGCUUUUUACAAGAUAUAUAUUUUUUUUGUAUGCUUUUUUGGCCAGUGAAGAUUUUGUAAUUUGAACAUGUCACUUUAUUAAA